rnacentral:miRNA from 1 species
AGGGAAAAUGUUGGAGAUGCAGGCUGGAGAAACCUCAGAAUAUCAUUCCAAUAUUAUUCCAAUAUUCUGAGGUUUCUCCAGCCUGCAUUUCCUUUAUUUUCCCAAAUCUUCCCAU